rnacentral:rRNA from 1 species
GACAGAGGUGCCGAGCGUUAGGCGGAAUCACUGGGCUUAAAGCGUGUGUAGGCGGAUCGUUAAGUGCCUUGUGAAAUCCCACGGCUCAACCGUGGAACUGCUUGGCAUACUGGCGGUCUUGAGCAACCUAGGGGCGAGCGGAACAAAUGGUGGAGCGGUGAAAUGCGUAGAUAUCAUUUGGAACGCCAAUGGUGAAAACAGCUCGCUGGGGGUUUGCUGACGCUGAGACGACGAAAGCCAGGGGAGCAAACGGG